rnacentral:rRNA from 1 species
CAAUAGCGUAUAUUAAAGUUGUUGCGGUUAAAAAGCUCGUAGUUGGAUUUCUGCUGAGGAUGACCGGUCCGCCCUCCGGGUGAGUAUCUGGCUCAGCCUUGGCAUCUUCCUGAAGAACGUAACUGCACUUGACUGUGUGGUGCGGUAUUUAGGACAUUUACUUUGAGGAAAUUAGAGUGUUUCAAGCAAGCGCACGCCUUGAAUACAUUAGCAUGGAAUAAUAAGAUAGGACCUCGGUUCUAUUUUGUUGGUUUCUAGAGCUGAGGUAAUGAUUGAUAGGGAUAGUUGGGGGCAUUCGUAUUUAACUGUCAGAGGUGAAAUUCUUGGAUUUGUUAAAGACGGACUACUGCAAAAGCAUUUGCCAAGGAUGUUUUCAUUGA